rnacentral:sRNA from 1 species
AGUUGAGGAUCUUCGACGAACAACAUCACUUCCUGUGCGUAACGUCGAAGUCACCGCAUCGUGCGGA